rnacentral:rRNA from 1 species
CCUACGGGAGGCAGCAGUGGGGAAUUUUGGACAAUGGGCGCAAGCCUGAUCCAGCAAUGCCGCGUGCAGGAUGAAGGCCUUCGGGUUGUAAACUGCUUUUGUACGGAACGAAACGGUUUGCCCUAAUACGGUGGGCUAAUGACGGUACCGUAAGAAUAAGCACCGGCUAACUACGUGCCAGCAGCCGCGGUAAUACGUAGGGUGCGAGCGUUAAUCGGAAUUACUGGGCGUAAAGCGUGCGCAGGCGGUUAUAUAAGACAGAUGUGAAAUCCCCGGGCUCAACCUGGGACCUGCAUUUGUGACUGUAUAGCUAGAGUACGGUAGAGGGGGAUGGAAUUCCGCGUGUAGCAGUGAAAUGCGUAGAUAUGCGGAGGAACACCGAUGGCGAAGGCAAUCCCCUGGACCUGUACUGACGCUCAUGCACGAAAGCGUGGGGAGCAAACAGGAUUAGAUACCCUGGUAGUCCACGCCCUAAACGAUGUCAACUGGUUGUUGGGUCUUCACUGACUCAGUAACGAAGCUAACGCGUGAAGUUGACCGCCUGGGGAGUACGGCCGCAAGGUUGAAACUUANAGAGUAGUAGCGUGAGACGUGCGACGACGACACAGGGAGGUUAGG